CCGCUAGCUUUAUAAGCAUGUGUUUGCUCAGUGCACAUGUAUAUAAGCAGUGGACGAGAACAGUGCCAGUGCUAUGCCUUCGGUACUAGUGGCGUGUAUCCUGUCGGCUAGUACUAUUCUCAAACGCUGGUACACAG